rnacentral:rRNA from 1 species
AGAGCGAACGCUGGCGGCAGGCCUAACACAUGCAAGUCGAGCGCCCCGCAAGGGGAGCGGCAGACGGGAGAGUAACACGUGGGAACGUACCCUUCAGUUCGGAACAACCCAGGGAAACUUGGGCUAAUACCGAAUACGUCCGUAAGGAGAAAGAUUUAUCGCUGAAGGAUCGGCCCGCGUCUGAUUAGCUUGUUGGUGAGGUAACGGCUCACCAAGGCGACGAUCAGUAGCUGGUCUGAGAGGAUGAUCAGCCUCACUGGGACUGAGACACGGCCCAGACUCCUACGGGAGGCAGCAGUGGGGAAUAUUGGACAAUGGGCGCAAGCCUGAUCCAGCCAUGCCGCGUGGGUGAUGAAGGCCCUAGGGUUGUAAAGCCCUUUCGGCGGGAAGAUAAUGACGGUACCCGCAGAAGAACGCCCGGCUAACUUCGCGCCAGCAGCCGC